AUGGCUCUUGGCAACAACCUCCCUCAGUCCUGAAGGUGCUCUGCUGUGUGAUGGAUUUCACACAGACACUGGGACAGCCCUGAAAGAGGUCCAGGUCACUUCUGCUUUUCACCUUGUGUUCCUCUAAGCUCUUAGAACUUUUACUUUUCUGCACAAUUAUUGUUCUCUAUCUUGAGGUAAGAAUCCCACCUGCAGCAGAAGUAAAGAAACAUGUUUUUCAACUUGAAAUAAAGCAGGAAAUACUCUUGUGGUGCUUUUGUUGUAUUUUAUUUCUUUUCUAGGAAAGAAAUGAAAUUACUACCCUUCGGUAGUAAUGGAGCCAGCAUCGAACAACGCAGGGGAAGGAGAAGAACAUGGUGUCAUGAUGAAUGAGUCCGAAGAUGCUGCAGCAGAGAUGGGCACUCAGGCACUGACGGUGAAACUUGCCAAGUUGGAAGUGAGCAGGAACCAACUGAAGAAAUGCAGACCUUCUCAAGAUCAGCCUGCGUCAGCAGGAGGCACAGCUUCUGACAUGCCACUGGGCUUUCUCUUUAAGGUUGAAGUUCUGCAUGAUUUUGAGGCAGCUAACGGUGACCAGCUUAAUUUGAAUGGAGGGGAUAUUGCACUAGUAAUUCCUUCUGAGACCACAGCUGAUCAGGUAACAACAACAUGAUUACUUAUUUCUUUUGCUAAUGUUUCCUUUUGUCUCAGUUUCCUUCUCACUCUUUAGAGUUAAUUUGAAAUGUUGGUUCAAAACAUCUUUACUGUUAGAAAACACCAGCAUUCUUAUUUUGCCCUUGUACUUGGUUUGAUUUGUGACCAAGCAGCACAGCUAACUAAGCUGAAGUCCCAGGUAUGUACUGCCAGCAGGAUCCAACUUCAGUCCAUUUUUCUAGGGCACUUUUAUGUUGCUUUGUAGUGAAUUUUAUACAGGCUUACAUACAGGCACAGGCUGAAUACAGAAGACGGCUUACAAAUUGUGCAUCCUGCUAUCAUGUUGUUGUAACACUGGGUCAGAACUGACUGUAUUUCCCCACACGUUCAGAGUUUUACAUGGAGAUCAGGAGAAAUAUGCAUUUGCCCAGAGAGAGCACUGAGACUGCACACCAACAGUUCUGUCCUGCAGCCCAAUGGCACAGAGGUGUUCCUGCAUGUCCUGUGUGCCUCUUGGGACCUGAGCCUCACAGCUGUGCUCCUGAGCUGCACCAGCAAUCGCUUUGUCUUUGGUGCAAGAACCCAACAGUUCAGUGUCAUUUAAGAUGCUUUAUUUUGUUUUAACAGUGUGUUUCAGGUUAAUUUUUAAACGAUUUGAUUCCACACGUUAUGUUGAUUUGCAGUCAAGUGAAUGAAUUUUUUACCUCCUCUUUAAGAGCAGCCCAUCUUGUACAAUUCGUACGAGCCACUUUGUGGCUGCAGUGGCAGAAAGCGUUGAUGAAAAGCAUCCCAUUGAACUGGGGGCUGGGAGGUUGGGCUCUGGACCUGCACAGUGAGACAGCCAGGUCUCUGCUCCGAAUGAAGAGCAGUUCUUCAAACAUGCCCAAAUGCUGUCAGCGCGUGUUUGGAGAGCCAGAGACUGUUUGUUAUCUAAGCUGAACUCUCUCUUAAUACAAGAGACAAGUAAUUGCUUUGGUUUUUGAUUCUUUUUUAUUGUUGUUUCUGAAUAAAAGAUUAUUUUAUUUUCCUUUUCACUGGGACACUUUGUUAUUUUGUAGGGACAGAUCCUCUUAUGCUUACUCAAACUGUGCUGCGUCUCACCUCUUGGGCUGUUCAGCUGAGUUCAUUGUCAGUAUUUGCAGGAUCUACUCUAAGGAUAUAAAAAUAGGCUGUCCUCAGUUAUUUUUUCUUAUCAUGUUUUGUAUUAAAUCUAUAUAACUUUCCCUUGGUGAAUCCAUUGAUUGUUUUUCUCUUGUGGUGUGCAUCCAAAUCCCAUUAGCGUUCAUUGGAGUGAAUCGUGUGCAGUGAUGGAGAAAAUGAAGCCCCAUGUAUUCGUGUUGCUGAGAUCAUUCUGCUCAUAUCUUUAUUACUCAGUGCAUAUUUGCCCUUUGUGUUUCACAUCACCUAGAACUCAAUUUUUCUCUCUUACCAGAUAAUUUGUUGAUUUCAGAGAGUAUUUGAUCUUGGUUCUUUCUUCUCCUGCAAAAUUGAUCUAAGACCAUCAUUCUGAGAUAGCUGGUGCUGUCAGCCUGUGCUCCCUGUGCAAAGCCAACUCAUCCCAGCCAGUGACUCCAACUUUUAUCCGUAAUUAUUGAGUUGAAGUCAUCAUCCAUUACAGCUUCAGUCCUGAGCAGAAUCUACUCUGUCCAUGGUAGAAAACUUCAGUUCCCCCACCUCAGGUUUUCCAAAAGGAGGCUGCUUGACAGGCAUUAAGGAAUCUGAGUGGCUUCAGCACAGAGAUGCGAAUGGUUAUAAAGGACUUUUCCCAGAGAACUUCACACGCCAUCUGGAACAGUUCUUCUCACAGGCACACGAAUGUGGUUUGAAGCUCAGUCAGUGGGUUCUUCACCUUGAAACACAGGAGCCCCCUUUUUUUGUAGUUCAGGCUGUUAAUGGUUUACAGAUUGGUUGCUUGUUGAAGCGUAUCAAAAUGAGCAUGAGUGCAAGCAGUUAAGCUAGCCAUUUCUGAAGCAGUGUGUGAAAAAAAAAUCAAAUACAAACAGAAAUGUCCUCAUUUGUUCACAUGCACGUGGCAACAGGUUUGUUUGUGCUUUGCCAGAGCUGUGGUGAUCCUGUGUUUGGUCCUUUCCCAUGAAAUCCAAAAUUAGCCUCCUUGGUAGCAAAACCUGAACUUGUCUGCACUCAGUGCAUCGUAUUGAGUUGCACUGCAGAAAACUUAAUUAGUAAUCCUGUAGUAAUGAGGUCAAACUAUUACAAGUUUCACUUGUUUAAAAAAUAUCAUUAACUGCUGCAAUGUUUUCCAGUGUUACUUGGAUGUGUGUCUGCAGGUGCAUGUGGGUAUGUGUGCAUCUCAGCAAUGUCAUGCAGUGCUGUGGCUGUGCAGUGCCAUCAGGGCAUGCAUUGCUCUCCCACUGUCUGGCAUUCCAGACAACAGUUUUGUUCCAAAGCAGAACCAGCUGCUCCAUUGCCAAAGCAUUGCACAGCGUCCGUGUGAGUGAGGUGAGGUUUUCAUUCUGAGAUGAUGAAUGGCAUCGUUUUCAAAGCUGCUGAACCUUUGAGAAGGCAUGGCUCGGUUUCCUCUUCCGGCUGCAGUAGUUACAGUGAGGUAAUCUGGAAGGGGAACUGUUAUGAUGCUCAUCUAUACUUUUUUAUUUAGUUGGCUGAAUAAAAAAAAACACGACAAAGUUAAUCUCUGAGAAAUAAACAUCUUUUCACAAUAAUAUUUAUGCAGCGCACCUUACAGAUCCUUUUAAAUUAAGGUACAUAAUGUAUGCUGUAUCAAAAAGUCACCUGUAACUUCUGUUUUCCAGUGCUGUGUCAUUAAAAAUAAACCUGUGAUCCACAGA